UCAGACCAUUGGCUGUGCCAGCCGAGUCCCCGUCCCCUCCCCGCCCUGCCUGCCGCAGCCCCAGACCCUAAGCCACUCCCUCCUGCCCUGGCCCCCUUAUAAUAGGCCACAGGCCCGCCUCACAAGCUAUGCCAAGGGCUACGGACCCUGCCCCGCCCCACGCCCCCUUCUCCAACCCAGCCCAGAGUCCCCUGCCGGCCUUUCUGGGUCGGGGGAGGGGACUGAAAACCAACCCGGGUUGGGAAGCAAUGUCCAGACCCCCUUACCUGACCAUCCUCUUUACCACCGGCCUGGGGGGCAGUGGGCCGCUGAAGUCCAGGGAGGUGACAGCCUGUGAUCUAGGCUCACUAGGGCAAGAUGGAAGGGGAGAAGGGUCUGCAGAGGCGAGACCAGGAUUAGAUGGUCCAGUGAGGACAGAGUGCCCUGGGCAAAGAUGCAGUGGGCUGUGCCAAUUGGAAGUUUCAGACUCCCGGCCAGGAUUCAUCCUGAGUUCUACGCAAGAGCCUGGGGAUGGAGAUACAGCAUCAGGGCAUAGGACCCCACCGUCCCUGCCCUGGCACUGGGGCUGCUAUAGACCCAGAGAAGCCUGCAGAGUUGAGGCUGCCUUGGCAGGAGCCAAGGAAGACAGGACUCAGUGUGGCAAGGCCCUCCGGGUGCUGCUCUGUGAGGAUUCCCUCACAAAGAGCAGUGGCGACUCUCUCAAGCUGCAGUCCCUGGGUCCUCCCACACCAGCCCAGAGACAGUCCUGGAGGCAGCUACAGCAUGCCCAGGAUGGCCCUGCUCCCUGGCUUUGA
rnacentral:lncRNA from 1 species